rnacentral:rRNA from 1 species
CAGCAGCCGCGGUAAUACGAAGGGGGCUAGCGUUGCUCGGAAUUACUGGGCGUAAAGGGCGCGUAGGCGGACAGUUAAGUUGGGGGUGAAAGCCCGGGGCUCAACCUCGGAAAUGCCUUCAAUGCUGGCUGUCUUGAGUACGGGAGAGGUGAGUGGAACUCCGAGUGUAGAGGUGAAAUUCGUAGAUAUUCGGAAGAACACCAGUGGCGAAGGCGACUCACUGGCCCGUUACUGACGCUGAGGCGCGAAAGCGUGGGGAGCAAACAGGAUUAGAUACCCUGGUAGUCCACGCCGUAAACGAUGAGUGCUAGUUGUCGGCAUGCAUGCAUGUCGGUGACGCAGCUAACGCAUUAAGCACUCCGCCGGGGAGUACGGUCGCAAGAUUAAAACUCAAAGAAAUUGACGG